rnacentral:rRNA from 1 species
GACUAUCUUAGUGGCGGACGGGUGAGUAACACGUGAGCAACCUGCCUUACAGAGUGGGAUAACGUUUGGAAACGAACGCUAAUACCGCAUAACAUUAACUUAUCGCAUGGUAAGAUAAUCAAAGAAAUUCGCUGUAAGAUGGGCUCGCGUCUGAUUAGAUAGUUGGUGAGGUAACGGCUCACCAAGUCGACGAUCAGUAGCCGGACUGAGAGGUUGAACGGCCACAUUGGGACUGAGACACGGCCCAGACUCCUACGGGAGGCAGCAGUGGGGAAUAUUGCACAAUGGGGGAAACCCUGAUGCAGCGACGCCGCGUGAGGGAAGAAGGUUUUCGGAUUGUAAACCUCUGUCUUCAGGGACGAUAGUGACGGUACCUGAGGAGGAAGCUCCGGCUAACUACGUGCCAGCAGCCGCGGUAAUACGUAGGGAGCGAGCGUUGUCCGGAAUUACUGGGUGUAAAGGGAGCGUAGGCGGGACAGCAAGUUGAAUGUGAAAUCUAUGGGCUCAACCCAUAAACUGCGUUCAAAACUGUUGUUCUUGAGUGAAGUAGAGGUAGGCGGAAUUCCUAGUGUAGCGGUGAAAUGCGUAGAUAUUAGGAGGAACA